rnacentral:rRNA from 1 species
GGACUACCCGGGUUUCUAAUCCCGUUUGCUCCCCUAGCUUUCGCGCCUCAGCGUCAGAAGAGGUCCAGCACGUCGCUUUCGCCACCGGCGUUCCUUCCGAUAUCUACGCAUUUCACCGCUCCACCGGAAGUUCCACAUGCCCCUACCUCACUCAAGAUGGUCAGUAUCAGAGGCACUUUUCCAGUUGAGCUGAAAGAUUUCACCCCUGACUUGACCGCCCGCCUACGCGCCCUUUAAGCCCAGUGAAUCCGAACAACGUUCGCACGGUUCGUCUUACCGCGGCUGCUGGCAC